rnacentral:rRNA from 1 species
UGGGGAAUAUUGCACAAUGGGCGAAAGCCUGAUGCAGCAACGCCGCGUGAGCGAUGAAGGCCUUCGGGUUGUAAAGCUCUGUCUUCAGGGACGAUAAUGACGGUACCUGAGGAGGAAGCCACGGCUAACUACGUGCCAGCAGCCGCGGUAAUACGUAGGGGGCAAGCGUUAUCCGGAUUUACUGGGUGUAAAGGGAGCGCAGACGGCAGUGCAAGUCUGAUGUGAAAGUCCGGGGCUCAACCCCGGAACUGCAUUGGAAACUGUACAGCUUGAGUGUCGGAGAGGUAAGCGGAAUUCCUAGUGUAGCGGUGAAAUGCGUAGAUAUUAGGAGGAACACCGGUGGCGAAGGCGGCUUACUGGACGAUGACUGACGUUGAGGCUCGAAAGCGUGGGGAGCAAACAGG